UACAGAGGGUGCGAGCGUUGUCCGGAAUCACUGGGCGUAAAGGGCGCGUAGGUGGUGGCUUAAGCGUGCGGUGAAAGCUCGGGGCUCAACCCCGAGUCGGCCGUGCGAACUGGGCUCACUGGAGCAUAGUAGAGGCAGGUGGAAUUCCGGGUGUAGCGGUGGAAUGCGUAGAGAUCCGGAAGAACACCGGUGGCGAAGGCGGCUCACUGGCUCGUAACUGACGCUCAUGCACGACAGCGUGGGGAGCAAACAGG
rnacentral:rRNA from 1 species